GGUCCAAUGCUCAUUGAAGUCAUGGAGAAUCUUUACACUGACUUCACUGAGCUUUGGACCAG
rnacentral:pre_miRNA from 1 species